rnacentral:rRNA from 1 species
UACGUAGGGGGCGAGCGUUGUCCGGAUUUAUUGGGCGUAAAGCGCGUGUAGGCGGCUUGGUAGGUCUGCUGUGAAAACUCGGGGGCUCAACCCCGAGACGUCGGUGGAAACCACCUGGCUAGAGUCCGGAAGAGGAGAGUGGAAUUCCCGGUGUAGCGGUGAAAUGCGCAGAUAUCGGGGAGGAACACCUGAGGCGAAGGCGGGCUACUGGGCUGAUACUGACGCUGAGGCGCGGAAAAGCCCAGGGGGAGCAAACGGGG